GGCGGCGUGCUUAACACAUGCAAGUCGAACGAUGAAGCCCUUCGGGGUGGAUUAGUGGCGAACGGGUGAGUAACACGUGGGCAAUCUGCCCUGCACUCUGGGACAAGCCCUGGAAACGGGGUCUAAUACCGGAUACUGAUCGCCUUGGGCAUCCUUGGUGAUCGAAAGCUCCGGCGGUGCAGGAUGAGCCCGCGGCCUAUCAGCUUGUUGGUGAGGUAAUGGCUCACCAAGGCGACGACGGGUAGCCGGCCUGAGAGGGCGACCGGCCACACUGGGACUGAGACACGGCCCAGACUCCUACGGGAGGCAGCAGUGGGGAAUAUUGCACAAUGGGCGAAAGCCUGAUGCAGCGACGCCGCGUGAGGGAUGACGGCCUUCGGGUUGUAAACCUCUUUCAGCAGGGAAGAAGCGGAAGUGACGGUACCUGCAGAAGAAGCGCCGGCUAACUACGUGCCAGCAGCCGCGGUAAUACGUAGGGCGCGAGCGUUGUCCGGAAUUAUUGGGCGUAAAGAGCUCGUAGGCGGCUUGUCGCGUCGGUUGUGAAAGCCCGGGGCUUAACCCCGGGUCUGCAGUCGAUACGGGCAGGCUAGAGUUCGGUAGGGGAGAUCGGAAUUCCUGGUGUAGCGGUGAAAUGCGCAGAUAUCAGGAGGAACACCGGUGGCGAAGGCGGAUCUCUGGGCCGAUACUGACGCUGAGGAGCGAAAGCGUGGGGAGCGAACAGGAUUAGAUACCCUGGUAGUCCACGCCGUAAACGGUGGGCACUAGGUGUGGGCGACAUUCCACGUCGUCCGUGCCGCAGCUAACGCAUUAAGUGCCCCGCCUGGGGAGUACGGCCGC
rnacentral:rRNA from 1 species